rnacentral:RNase_P_RNA from 2 species
CGAGUAAGCCGGAUGACCGCGGGGAGAAAUCCCUGAGGAAAGUCCGAGCUCCAUAGGGCAGGAUGCCGGGUAACGCCCGGUGGAGGCGACUCCAAGGAAAGUGCCACAGAAACAAACCGCCUUAUUGGAAGUUGGAGGUGAGAGGUUAGAAGUUGGAAAGGAGAAAUUAAAUGAUUUACUCCUUUAAAGAUUUAGAAGUUUACCAAACUUCUUAUAAUCUUGCUCUUGAAAUAUAUAAAAUCAUAACAACUUUUCCCAAAUAUGAGCAGUACGAGCUUGCAAGUCAAUUUCGCAGAGCCGUAAUUUCAAUUCCUUUAAAUAUUGCGGAAGGCUUUGGUCGUAAACGUUCAAUUUUAACUUUUAAAAGUUUUAUUUUAAAUAGCCUUGGCUCUUGUAAUGAAGUGUUAGUAUUACUGGACUUUGCUAAGGAUUUAAAUUAUUUAGAUGAAAACACUUACCAAUAUUUUUAUAAGGAGUAUGAAUUACUUGCUAAAAAAAUAAAUCGCUUAUAUGCCAAUUGGAAAUAAGGUUUUUUCUAAUUUCUAACUUCCAACCUCCAACUUCCAGUAGGGUAAGGGUGGAAAGGUGAGGUAAGAGCUCACCAGCGGGCAGGUAACUGUCCGGCUAGGCAAACCCCAUCCGGAGCAAGACCAAAUAGGGGGACUAUAGAGUGGCCCGCUCUGUCCCCGGGUUGGUCGCUUAAGGCCUCUGGUGACAGAGGUCUCAGAUAGAUGGUCAUCCUCGACAGAACUCGGCUUACAGGCUUACUCGCUUG